UGGGAAAUAUUGCACAAUGGGCGCAAGCCUGAUGCAGCCAUGCCGCGUGUGUGAAGAAGGCCUUCGGGUUGUAAAGCACUUUCAGCGAGGAGGAAGGUGGUGAACUUAAUACGUUCAUCAAUUGACGUUACUCGCAGAAGAAGCACCGGCUAACUCCGUGCCAGCAGCCGCGGUAAUACGAGGGUGCAAGCGUUAAUCGGAAUUACUGGGCGUAAAGCGCACGCAGGCGGUUUGUUAAGUCAGAUGUGAAAUCCCCGGGCUCAACCUGGGAACUGCAUUUGAAACUGGCAAGCUAGAGUCUCGUAGAGGGGGGUAGAAUUUCCAGGUGUAGCGGUGAAAUGCGGUAGAGAUCUGGAGGAAUACCGGUGGCGAAGGCGGCCCCCCUGGACG
rnacentral:rRNA from 1 species